ACUCAAAGGAAUUGACGGGGGCCCGCACAAGCGGCGGAGCAUGUUGCUUAAUUCGACGCAACGCGAAGAACCUUACCAAGGUUUGACAUGGCCGGAAAACUCACAGAGAUGUGGGGUCCUUCGGGGCCGGUCACAGGUGGUGCAUGGCUGUCGUCAGCUCGUGUCGUGAGAUGUUGGGUUAAGUCCCGCAACGAGCGCAACCCUCGUCCCAUGUUGCCAGCAAGUAAAGUUGGGGACUCAUGGGAGACUGCCGGGGUCAACUCGGAGGAAGGUGGGGAUGACGUCAAGUCAUCAUGCCCCUUAUGUCUUGGGCUGCAAACAUGCUACAAUGGCCGGUACAGAGCGCUGCGAGCCCGUGAGGGUGAGCGAAUCGCGGAAAGCCGGUCUCAGUUCGGAUCGGGGUCUGCAACUCGGCCCCGUGAAGCCGGAGUCGCUAGUAAUCGCGGAUCAGCAACGCCGCGGUGAAUACGUUCCCGGGCCUUGCACACACCGCCCGU
rnacentral:rRNA from 1 species